GACGAACGCUGGCGGCGUGCUUAACACAUGCAAGUCGAACGGAAAGGCCUCUUUCGGGGGGUACUCGAGUGGCGAACGGGUGAGUAACACGUGAGUAACCUGCCCUUGACUUUGGGAUAACUUCAGGAAACUGGGGCUAAUACCGGAUAGGAGCUCCUGCUGCAUGGUGGGAGUUGGAAAGUUUCGGCGGUUGGGGAUGGACUCGCGGCUUAUCAGCUUGUUGGUGGGGUAGUGGCUUACCAAGGCUUUGACGGGUAGCCGGCCUGAGAGGGUGACCGGCCACAUUGGGACUGAGAUACGGCCCAGACUCCUACGGGAGGCAGCAGUGGGGAAGAUUGCACAAUGGGUGGAAGCCUGAUGCAGCAACGCCGUGUGCGGGAUGACGGCCUUCGGGUUGUAAACCGCUUUCGCUCAUGACGAAGCUUUGUGUGACGGUAGUGGGUAAAGAAGCACCGGCUAACUACGUG
rnacentral:rRNA from 1 species